rnacentral:rRNA from 1 species
UACGAAGGGGGCUAGCGUUGCUCGGAAUUACUGGGCGUAAAGGGCGCGUAGGCGGUUUGUACAGUCGGGCGUGAAAUUCCUGGGCUCAACCUGGGGGCUGCGCACGAGACGUAUGGACUAGAGUAGGGAAGAGGGUCGUGGAAUUCCCAGUGUAGAGGUGAAAUUCGUAGAUAUUGGGAAGAACACCGGUGGCGAAGGCGGCGACCUGGUCCUUGACUGACGCUGAGGCGCGAAAGCGUGGGGAGCAAACAGG